GUUUCUCGAAACGACUUUUCUCUGAACAAAAGAAAACUUCUUUAAAGCUUUUCGUUUGCCAGAGAUUUCAUGGACACCCAUGCGACGAUCUAUGAAACCGACUCCACCUUCAGAUCCAUAGACAAGAAUGGGAGCUCAGUUGCAAGACAUCUUGGAAUUUGGACUUUGAAAUUUCAUUUUUUGAAGUUUUGGAAAAAGAAUGAAGGAAAGAAAUGGAAAAUGGCUGCAAUUUGCAUUUAGGUACUAAAAGAACCAGGACAAUGUGUUUGAUUUGAGCUGCAGCUGGUUGUGAAUGUUCAAGCUACCCCAUGUGUUUGAAGAUAUUUUUCAUGUAUACAGUAGGGCCAGUAGCUCCAAUCAGUUGUGUGACAAGCAUGAGACCGAGUGGGGCUCCCUCAGUAUUACCACCUUCAGUCACCUCAACUCAGGAAAAGAGUACGAUGAUUUUUCAUCAUUAAUUCAAAGGAUGUUUACAAAACGGUGAGCAAUUGCUCAAGUUGUGGGUAAAAAUAUAAUGUUAUUAGAAAUGGUUAACUUGGAGGGAAUCAUUUCAGGUGUAUAUUUCUUUAUAUAUGAAGCAUUGAGCAUAUUGUUGGUGAUUCACGUGUAUCAAUAAGUAUGCUGGUGUAAUAAAGUCGAGCUCAUUAUAUUGCUUA